rnacentral:pre_miRNA from 1 species
UGUUAAAAAUUUCAUCUAUUUUUUGUUGUUAAAAACUGGUUUUUGUACAUCAACAUGAGGUACACGUGGCAUACCAUAUGUUACUAUCUGAUUAUUCUAUCAACCACGUUAAUUUUUAAUAGCAUAAAUAGAUGAAAUUUUUAACA